CUCAAGGGCGGACCUGACCGGCGAGAGGGAGCCCCCGCCCCUCGCCGUGACGACUGCAGACCCGCCGAACCCCGCACCCGCCGCGGCCCGGGGUGCGGGUGGGCAGCCCCUCGGCGGGAGCCGGCCAGAUGCUGGGGAGAUGAGCAAUGGAUGAUUUUGGCUUCCUCUGAAUAACUCCUGAGAGGGGAAAGACACGGCAUGUGGAAGACACUGUGCAUGAGGUGAAUGAGUUCUUCCAGCUCUCUUCUCCAGCCCUGGAGCUCCAGAAAGAGGAGGAUGAGCCAGACCCACUGCCCCCAGGUGAAUGCUGCACAUUUGUGGUGGCUCCCAGCAUCUCCCCUUGUGAGUGGCAGGAAGAUAAACUUCACCCACUGGAGAAAAGUGGCCCAGAUGGAGAAAAGCUGGGACCCUGGGCCCUGAAGAGCCACUGGGCCCUGGAGCUGCAGGUGAGGAGAGUCCACCUCGCUCAGAGGAUUGAAGACCUGGAGUAGGAGCUGUCCUUGCUCCUUCAGGCGGCCAACAGCAGUUCGAGCAUAGGAGGGAGCUGGCCCAGCCAACACAGCAGCCUAAGGGGCACUGAGUCACAUCAGAUACUGCAUGGUGGCCACCUCCGGGAGGUGCCUUCUCACCGAGAACAUGAACGGCUUCCCCUGGUAGGAAGGAGUGGGCAUCUGGGGCCCGGAGUGUGUGCUGGUUUUACGACGUGCUCCUACAGGGAGACACCUGGAUUUCUUUCAGAGCCUGGACCUCAGCUUGUGCUCAAUUCUGCCUUGAACUUUCUGGGGUGAGGGAAAAUAAACUGACAUGGGUUGACAAAAUCAGGGUGUGCUCCUAUCAGAGUCUGUGCCUCCAUUUUCUCACUCAGCUGUGGGCCGUGGCUUCCCCCAAAAAACUUCAGUUGGGGCCCCUGGCUUGAGGGGUGAGAAGUGCUUGGGCGGGGCCUGAGAACAUAGGUGCAGCCAGAGCACAUCCACGCCCCAUCUUCCAUCACACCUCACGGCUGAGUCUCCUGGGCCCCCAGUGUGGCUUGUAGGGAGUCCAAGUAGCCAUGUCCCCUCCUGGCUCCAGCCAACCUCCUGGACACAGAGGAGGGUUCGGUCUGUGGCCUGGGCCUCGUGACCACAUCAGAUGUCCCAGUACCAAAGGAGACUCUCUGAGAAGAGCCAGAGCCACAUCCAGUCGAACUGGAGUUCUCUGACCCUGGACAUACACAACCCUGUUCUCCGAGCCUUGGUCCAGCAGUUCCCUCCUCAGAAGGUCCCUCCCGCUGCGCUGUGCCCAGGUGAGAUGUGCUUCAUCUCUAAGACCCAACCAAGAGGCCCUUCAGUCCACAGAGCUUUUUCCCACCCCUUCCCAGAUUUCUACCCCGUCUCCACCACAUGUCUGCUUCCCAUGAGUCACCUGUGCCCUGGAUGGCCUUAUCUUCCAGUCGGAGCUCCUCAAAGCACGGUGACGAACGAAGAGUGGCUGGGUUCAGAGUGAAGCAGCAAUGGACAGAGACCUCUGAAGAGGAAAGCAGUAAUAUUUCUCAGGAUGUCAGCCCAGGCUACAGUGGGAACUGCAUGGGCUUUCUCACUAAGAAAACCGACCUUGCUAUGAAGCUCUCUCUGUCCGCGCAUGUACGACGCAUCUCUCACAGGCACAGCGAUCCAGAAAACUCAAGUGGCCGUCUCCAUUGCGGUCAUCUGGACUUCCAGGCAAACAGGACACACAGGGGACAAUGAGCAGAUUAAGAAAAAAUAAUUCUAUGCUUCUUC